rnacentral:rRNA from 1 species
UUAAGCGACUAAGCGUACACGGUGGAUGCCUAGGCAGUCAGAGGCGAUGAAGGGCGUGCUAAUCUGCGAAAAGCGUCGGUAAGCUGAUAUGAAGCGUAAUAACCGACGAUACCCGAAUGGGGAAACCCAGUGCAAUUCGUUGCACUAUUGCAUGGUGAAUACAUAGCCAUGCAAGGCGAACCGGGGGAACUGAAACAUCUAAGUACCCCGAGGAAAAGAAAUCAACCGAGAUUCCCCCAGUAGCGGCGAGCGAACGGGGAAGAGCCCAGAGUCUGAAUCAGUUUGUGUGUUAGUGGAAGCGUCUGGAAAGUCGCACGGUACAGGGUGAUAGUCCCGUACACAAAAACACACUGGCUGUGAACUCGAUGAGUAGGGCGGGACACGUGACAUCCUGUCUGAAUAUGGGGGGACCAUCCUCCAAGGCUAAAUACUCCUGACUGACCGAUAGUGAACCAGUACCGUGAGGGAAAGGCGAAAAGAACCCCGGCGAGGGGAGUGAAAUAGAACCUGAAACCGUGUACGUACAAGCAGUGGGAGCCCCACCACCAAAGCAUUCUCUGGUGUUAAAGGCCAUGCUGAAGCUCAAUCACGCGUUGGCGGAGCGUCCUUUGCGACGCCCAACACAAAAAACAAGCGGUGAGUGCUUUGGGGUGGGGUGACUGCGUACCUUUUGUAUAAUGGGUCAGCGACUUAUAUUUUGUAGCAAGGUUAACCGAAUAGGGGAGCCGUAGGGAAACCGAGUCUUAACUGGGCGUCUAGUUGCAAGGUAUAGACCCGAAACCCGGUGAUCUAGCCAUGGGCAGGUUGAAGGUUGGGUAACACUAACUGGAGGACCGAACCGACUAAUGUUGAAAAAUUAGCGGAUGACUUGUGGCUGGGGGUGAAAGGCCAAUCAAACCGGGAGAUAGCUGGUUCUCCCCGAAAGCUAUUUAGGUAGCGCCUCGUGAACUCAUCUUCGGGGGUAGAGCACUGUUUCGGCUAGGGGUCCAUCCCGGAUUACCAAACCGAUGCAAACUCCGAAUACCGAAGAAUGUUAUCACGGGAGACACACGGCGGGUGCUAACGUCCGUCGUGAAGAGGGAAACAACCCAGACCGCCAGCUAAGGUCCCAAAGUCAUGGUUAAGUGGGAAACGAUGUGGGAAGGCAUAGACAGCCAGGAUGUUGGCUUAGAAGCAGCCAUCAUUUAAAGAAAGCGUAAUAGCUCACUGGUCGAGUCGGCCUGCGCGGAAGAUGUAACGGGGCUAAACCAUGCACCGAAGCUGCGGCAGCGACGCUUAGGCGUUGUUGGGUAGGGGAGCGUUCUGUAAGCCGUUGAAGGUGGCCUGUGAGGGCUGCUGGAGGUAUCAGAAGUGCGAAUGCUGACAUAAGUAACGAUAAUGCGGGUGAAAAACCCGCACGCCGGAAGACCAAGGGUUCCUGUCCAACGUUAAUCGGGGCAGGGUGAGUCGACCCCUAAGGCGAGGCUGAAAAGCGUAGUCGAUGGGAAACAGGUUAAUAUUCCUGUACUGGGUGUGACUGCGAAGGGGGGACGGAGAAGGCUAGGCUAGCCGGGCGACGGUUGUCCCGGUUUAAGCAUGUAGGCGGAGUGACUUGGUAAAUCCGGUUGCUUAUCAACGCUGAGGUGUGAUGACGAGCCACUACGGUGGUGAAGUAGUUGAUGCCAAGCUUCCAGGAAAAGCCUCUAAGCAUCAGGUGACAUUCAAUCGUACCCCAAACCGACACAGGUGGUCAGGUAGAGAAUACUCAGGCGCUUGAGAGAACUCGGGUGAAGGAACUAGGCAAAAUGGUGCCGUAACUUCGGGAGAAGGCACGCUGGCAUUAGGUAAAGAGACUUGCUCUCGGCGCCGAAGCCAGUCGCAGAUACCAGCUGGCUGCAACUGUUUAAUAAAAACACAGCACUGUGCAAACACGAAAGUGGACGUAUACGGUGUGACGCCUGCCCGGUGCUGGAAGGUUAAUUGAUGGGGUCAGCCGCAAGGCGAAGCUCUUGAUCGAAGCCCCAGUAAACGGCGGCCGUAACUAUAACGGUCCUAAGGUAGCGAAAUUCCUUGUCGGGUAAGUUCCGACCUGCACGAAUGGCGUAAUGAUGGCCAGGCUGUCUCCACCCGAGACUCAGUGAAAUUGAACUCGCUGUGAAGAUGCAGUGUACCCGCGGCAAGACGGAAAGACCCCGUGAACCUUUACUAUAGCUUGACACUGAAUAUUGAGCCUUGAUGUGUAGGAUAGGUGGGAGGCAUCGAAGCGUGGACGCCAGUCUGCGUGGAGCCAACCUUGAAAUACCACCCUUUAAUGUUUGAUGUUCUAACUCGGCCCCAUAAUCUGGGGUGAGGACAGUGUCUGGUGGGUAGUUUGACUGGGGCGGUCUCCUCCCAAAGAGUAACGGAGGAGCACGAAGGUUAGCUAAUCACGGUCGGACAUCGUGAGGUUAGUGCAAAGGCAUAAGCUAGCUUGACUGCGAGAGUGACGGCUCGAGCAGGUACGAAAGUAGGUCUUAGUGAUCCGGUGGUUCUGAAUGGAAGGGCCAUCGCUCAACGGAUAAAAGGUACUCCGGGGAUAACAGGCUGAUACCGCCCAAGAGUUCAUAUCGACGGCGGUGUUUGGCACCUCGAUGUCGGCUCAUCACAUCCUGGGGCUGAAGUAGGUCCCAAGGGUAUGGCUGUUCGCCAUUUAAAGUGGUACGCGAGCUGGGUUUAGAACGUCGUGAGACAGUUCGGUCCCUAUCUGCCGUGGGCGUUGGAAGAUUGAGAGGGGCUGCUCCUAGUACGAGAGGACCGGAGUGGACGCAUCACUGGUGUUCGGGUUGUCAUGCCAAUGGCAUUGCCCGGUAGCUAAAUGCGGAAAAGAUAAGCGCUGAAAGCAUCUAAGCGCGAAACUUGCCUCGAGAUGAGUCUUCCCUGGGGCUUUAAGCCCCCUGAAGGAACGUUAAAGACUAUGACGUUGAUAGGCUGGGUGUGUAAGUGCAGCGAUGCAUUGAGCUAACCAGUACUAAUGAUCCGUGAGGCUUAACCUU